rnacentral:rRNA from 1 species
UACGAAGGGGGCUAGCGUUGUUCGGAAUCACUGGGCGUAAAGGGCGCGUAGGCGGCUUUAUAAGUCGGGGGUGAAAGCCUGUGGCUCAACCACAGAAUUGCCUUCGAUACUGUAGAGCUUGAGACCGGAAGAGGUAAGUGGAACUGCGAGUGUAGAGGUGAAAUUCGUAGAUAUUCGCAAGAACACCAGUGGCGAAGGCGGCUUACUGGUCCGGUUCUGACGCUAAGGCGCGAAAGCGUGGGGAGCAAACAGG